GAUGAGGUGGCCGAGAGGUUAAGGCGAGGGACUGCUAAUCUUAUUGGGCUCUGCCCGCGUGGGUUCGAAUCCCAUCCUCGUCG
rnacentral:tRNA from 1 species